rnacentral:tRNA from 1 species
GGGGGAUUAGCUCAAAUGGUAGAGCGCUUGCUCAUCAUGGGGGAGGUACCGGGAUCGAUACCCGGAUUCUCCA